GGAAGAGUAGUGGUAACACUUUAGCCUCACAAGCCAAAUGUCCGGGGUUCAAAUCCCGGCAUGACCA
rnacentral:tRNA from 1 species